rnacentral:rRNA from 1 species
CGGAGCUAACGCGUUAAGUCGACCGCCUGGGGAGUACGGCCGCAAGGUUAAAACUCAAAUGAAUUGACGGGGGCCCGCACAAGCGGUGGAGCAUGUGGUUUAAUUCGAUGCAACGCGAAGAACCUUACCUGGUCUUGACAUCCACGGAAGUUUUCAGAGAUGAGAAUGUGCCUUCGGGAACCGUGAGACAGGUGCUGCAUGGCUGUCGUCAGCUCGUGUUGUGAAAUGUUGGGUUAAGUCCCGCAACGAGCGCAACCCUUAUCCUUUGUUGCCAGCGGUCCGGCCGGGAACUCAAAGGAGACUGCCAGUGAUAAACUGGAGGAAGGUGGGGAUGACGUCAAGUCAUCAUGGCCCUUACGACCAGGGCUACACACGUGCUACAAUGGCGCAUACAAAGAGAAGCGACCUCGCGAGAGCAAGCGGACCUCAUAAAGUGCGUCGUAGUCCGGAUUGGAGUCUGCAACUCGACUCCAUGAAGUCGGAAUCGCUAGUAAUCGUGGAUCAGAAUGCCACGGUGAAUACGUUCCCGGGCCUUGUACACACCGCCCGUCACACCAUGGGAGUGGGUUGCAAAAGAAGUAGGUAGCUUAACCUUCGGGAGGGCGCUUACCACUUUGUGAUUCAUGACUGGGGUGAAGUCGUAACAAGGUAACCGUAGGGGAACCUGCGGUUGGAUCACCUCCUU